AUUGAACGCUGGCGGCAGGCCUAACACAUGCAAGUCGAAUGGUAACAGGAAACAGCUUGCUGUUUCGCUGACGAGUGGCGGACGGGUGAGUAAUGUCUGGGAAACUGCCUGAUGGAGGGGGAUAACUACUGGAAACGGUAGCUAAUACCGCAUAACGUCGCAAGACCAAAGAGGGGGACCUUCGGGGCCUCUUGCCAUCAGAUGUGCCCAGAUGGGAUUAGCUAGUAGGUGGGGUAACGGCUCACCUAGGCGACGAUCCCUAGCUGGUCUGAGAGGAUGACCAGCCACACUGGAACUGAGACACGGUCCAGACUCCUACGGGAGGCAGCAGUGGGGAAUAUUGCGACAAUGGGCGCAAGCCUGAUGCAGCCAUGCCGCGUGUAUGAAGAAGGCCUUCGGUUGUAAGUACUUCUAGCGGGAGGAAGGGAGUAAGUAUACUU
rnacentral:rRNA from 1 species